GUACCGCAUGUUUCGACGCCAUAUUUAUUUGCGAGUCAGAACGAAUUUGUUUCAGUCGAGAUUAAUGCUGCAGGUGGAAAUUUCGCUUUAUUGGAUAUUCAGAUUUCCAGGACAAAUAUAAAAAAAUGUAUCAUCACACUCGCUACUGCUAUCUCCAAUAUGUGUUGUGCCGAUUUUAUGGAACUCGAACUAUAAUAAGACAUCAGAUAUAAUAAAACGAAUGAGGUUCCCUGCGGCCAUCUUUGUGACAGCUUCCCGGGCGAUAAUGGAAUUGAGCUAGUGCUACAGCGAUGAGACAGCAGCAAACAUAUGUUGUACAGUUUUCUGACUCUAAAAAACUGUAAUAAAUA